CCUACGGGCGGCAGCAGUGAGGAAUAUUGGUCAAUGGACGAGAGUCUGAACCAGCCAAGUAGCGUGAAGGAUGACUGCCCUAUGGGUUGUAAACUUCUUUUAUAUGGGAAUAAAAUGUUCCACGUGUGGGAUUUUGUAUGUACCAUAUGAAUAAGGAUCGGCUAACUCCGUGCCAGCAGCCGCGGUAAUACGGAGGAUCCGAGCGUUAUCCGGAUUUAUUGGGUUUAAAGGGAGCGUAGGUGGAUUGUUAAGUCAGUUGUGAAAGUGUGCGGCUCAACCGUAAAAUUGCAGUUGAAACUGGCAGUCUUGAGUACAGUAGAGGUGGGCGGAAUUCGUGGUGUAGCGGUGAAAUGCUUAGAUAUCACGAAGAACUCCGAUUGCGAAGGCAGUUCACUGGACUGCAACUGACACUGAGGCUCGAAAGUGUGGGUAUCAAACAGGAUUAGAUACCCUUGUAGUC
rnacentral:rRNA from 1 species